GCUCUUUAUAUUCCUGUUUUAGUUUCAGAUAUAUGCUUCUUUUUACUAAUAUUUUCAGAGUGUCUUUGUCACGGUUUUUGGUUUUCACCUUUAGAGAAUCUCUGUUUCAUUCCUUAUUAGAAACUAUAGAUGUUAGAGGUUAGACAUCACUGUUUUGUUCCGUGUUACAAAUCUAUUGAUCUCGUUCUGUUUAUUCUUUUUGUUUGUUUCCUGUGUACUUUUGUCUGAGAUUUUGAUUUUCAG
rnacentral:lncRNA from 1 species